UACGUAGGGCGCGAGCGUUGUCCGGAAUUAUUGGGCGUAAAGAGCUCGUAGGCGGCCAGUUGCGUCUGCUGUGAAAUCCCGGGGCUCAACCCCGGGCUUGCAGUGGAUACGGGCUGGCUGGAGGCAGGCAGGGGAGAACGGAAUUCCCGGUGUAGCGGUGAAAUGCGCAGAUAUCGGGAGGAACACCAAUGGCGAAGGCAGCUCGCUGGGACGGUACUGACGCUGAGACGCGAAAGCGUGGGGAGCAAACAGG
rnacentral:rRNA from 1 species